rnacentral:rRNA from 1 species
AUUGAACGCUAGCGGGAUGCUUUACACAUGCAAGUCGAACGAGCGGCGGACGGGUGAGUAAUGUAUGGGGAUCUGCCUGAUGGCGGGGGAUAACUACUGGAAACGGUAGCUAAUACCGCAUACCAUCAGAUGUGCCCAGAUGGGAUUAGCUAGUAGGUGGGGUAAUGGCUCACCUAGGCGACGAUCCCUAGCUGGUCUGAGAGGAUGACCAGCCACACUGGAACUGAGACACGGUCCAGACUCCUACGGGAGGCAGCAGUGGGGAAUAUUGCACAAUGGGCGCAAGCCUGAUGCAGCCAUGCCGCGUGUGUGAAGAAGGCCUUCGGGUUGUAAAGCACUUUCAGCGAGGAGGCGUUACUCGCAGAAGAAGCACCGGCUAACUCCGUGCCAGCAGCCGCGGUAAUAC